GACGAACGCUGGCGGCUUGCUUAACACAUGCAAGUCGAACGGUAAGGCCCUUCGGGGUACACGAGUGGCGAACGGGUGAGUAACACGUGGGUGAUCUGCCCUGCACUUCGGGAUAAGCCUGGGAAACUGGGUCUAAUACCGGAUAGGACCACUGCCUGCAUGGGUGGUGGUGGAAAGCUUUUGCGGUGUGGGAUGGGCCCGCGGCCUAUCAGCUUGUUGGUGGGGUGAUGGCCUACCAAGGCGACGACGGGUAGCCGGCCUGAGAGGGUGACCGGCCACACUGGGACUGAGAUACGGCGCAGACUCCUACGGGAGGCAGCAGUGGGGAAUAUUGCACAAUGGGCGCAAGCCUGAUGCAGCGACGCCGCGUGAGGGAUGGCGGCCUUCGGGUUGUAAACCUCUUUCAGCACCGACGAAGCGCAAGUGACGGUAGGUGCAGAAGAAGGACCGGCCAACUACGUGCCAGCAGCCGCAGUAA
rnacentral:rRNA from 1 species